rnacentral:rRNA from 1 species
AUCGCGGGACCGGAGACGGUCCUUUCAGUUCGGCUGGAUACCACACAGGUGCUGCAUGGCUGUCGUCAGCUCGUGUCGUGAGAUGUUCGGUUAAGUCCGGCAACGAGCGCAACCCACACUCUUAGUUGCCAUCAUUCAGUUGGGCACUCUAGGAGAACUGCCGGUGAUAAGCCGGAGGAAGGUGUGGAUGACGUCAAGUCCUCAUGGCCCUUACGGGUUGGGCUACACACGUGCUACAAUGGUGGUGACAAUGGGUUAAUCCCAAAAAGCCAUCUCAGUUCGGAUUGGGGUCUGCAACUCGACCCCAUGAAGUCGGAAUCGCUAGUAAUCGCGUAACAGCAUGACGCGGUGAAUACGUUCCCGGGCCUUGUACACACCGA